AUUGCAUGAAAAAUUUCUAUUCAACUAAUUUGGUGUGUUGCAGAAUGGGAAAGGGUUUAAUAUGGGCGACGGCAGAGGAUUUGAGUCGGAACAGGAGUCGAGUUCUGUCGCUAUAUCGUCAGACACUGAGAAGCCUGAAUUCUCCUUGGUUGCCACUGAACUUCGCCUCUAGACUCGCUAUGAAAGCUAAGGUUGGGGGUUUGUUGCUAUUGAUUAAACCAAUUCAAUAGUACUUUCAACUUGCCCCGAAAA